UACAGAGGCCUCAAGCGUUAGGCGGAAUCACUGGGCUUAAAGCGUGUGUAGGCGGACUUCUAAGUACCUUGUGAAAUCCCCCGGCUCAACUGGGGAACUGCAAGGGAUACAGCGGGGCUUGAGUUCGGGAGAGGGAAGCGGAAUUCCGGGUGUAGCGGUGAAAUGCGUAGAUAUCCGGAGGAACACCGGUGGCGAAGGCGGCUUCCUGGACCGAUACUGACGCUGAGGCGCGAAAGCUAGGGGAGCAAACGGG
rnacentral:rRNA from 1 species